rnacentral:rRNA from 1 species
UAUUGCACAAUGGGGGAAACCCUGAUGCAGCGACGCCGCGUGAGUGAAGAAGUAUUUCGGUAUGUAAAGCUCUAUCAGCAGGGAAGAAAAUGACGGUACCUGAUUAAGAAGCCCCGGCUAACUACGUGCCAGCAGCCGUGGUAAUACGUAGGGGGCAAGCGUUAUCCGGAUUUACUGGGUGUAAAGGGAGCGUAGACGGCUGUGCAAGUCUGAAGUGAAAGCCCGUGGCUCAACCACGGAACUGCGUUGGAAACUGUAUAGCUUGAGUACUGGAGAGGCAGGCGGAAUUCCUAGUGUAGCGGUGAAAUGCGUAGAUAUUAGGAGGAACACCAGUGGCGAAGGCGGCUCACUGGACUGUAACUGACGUUGAGGCUCGAAAGCGUGGGGAGCAAACAGG